rnacentral:rRNA from 1 species
AACGAACGCUGGCGGCGUGCUUAACACAUGCAAGUCGAACGAGAAGUCUGUAGCAAUACAGAUUGUAAAGUGGCGCACGGGUGAGUAACACGUGGGUAAUCUGCCCUCGAGUUUGGGAUAACCCCGCGAAAGCGGGGCUAAUACCGAAUAAGACCACAGGGACCAAAGUCCCAGGGGUAAAAGGUGGCCUCUAUUUAUAAGCUACCACUUGAGGAUGAGCCCGCGGCCCAUUAGCUAGUUGGCAGGGUAACGGCCUACCAAGGCGAUGAUGGGUAGCUGGUCUGAGAGGACGAUCAGCCACACUGGAACUGAGACACGGUCCAGACUCCUACGGGAGGCAGCAGUGGGGAAUAUUGCUCAAUGGGCGAAAGCCUGAAGCAGCAACGCCGCGUGGGGGAUGAAGGUUCUCGGAUUGUAAACCCCUUUCGAUCGGAACGAAUCCCCUCCUGGUGAACAAUCAGGAGGAUCGACGGUACCGAGAGAAGAAGCCACGGCUAACUCUGUGCCAGCCGCCGCCGUAAAAC